UAAGACAGAAGCAGCUCUCAGAAGCCAUCACAGUAAGUUCCUGCGCUCAUUUACAGAAGAUGUGGAAGAGGAGAGAGAACCAACCCCCACAGGCCCUCUUUUAAAAAAACCCUAUCCCCAUCUUUACCUUUGGGCCCCUGGGUUUAGACCCCCUAACAAAGAGAAAAAACUUCGCGCCCCUUACCUCCUCCGUGGUUCGGGCUCCAAAAAGCUAUUGUCUACCGCCCUGAGAGGGUGCGGCGCCCACUGGGUUUGAGACACGGCCAGUCCCCCCCGAGGCACCAAUAGGGACAUUUUCGCAAUAUUCUGAAAUUGCGCGACAACCCCGCGCGAGAAAAAAAAGUUUUCAGAAAUAUAAAUCUCUUUUGUAAGAAAAAACCAGUGAGAGAGUGGCAGGGGAAAAGUGUGGAGGUAUCUUUCCAGAAAGGGACGGCUAUCUGCGUCCCCACAGGCGCGGAAAAUACGUGGGGGGGAGAGCGUUAUCCCAGUUUUUUUGGGUAUAAAGAGAGCACACGGGUUUUUCUAUCUCUGAUGUAAAACGUCUCGGCUUCCCGAGAGAAGCAUCUCGGAAACUGGAUCUUGAGAGCAGAAAAGAGUAGUGGGGCACCCCAUGUGUCGCGGUGGAAUGCGGAGAUAUGGGAGAGAACACCAGUGGAAGGCGGCGCUACCUUGUCUGCAACUGACGCUGAGUCUCGAAAGCAUGUGUAGCGCACAGG
rnacentral:rRNA from 1 species